AGCGAACGCUGGCGGCAGGCCUAACACAUGCAAGUCGAGCGGCCGUAGCAAUACGGCAGCGGCAGACGGGAGAGUAACACGUGGGAACGUACCUUUCAGUUCGGAACAACCCAGGGAAACUUGGGCUAAUACCGGAUACGCCCGUAAGGGGAAAGAUUUAUCGCUGAAAGAUCGGCCCGCGUCUGAUUAGCUAGUUGGUGAGGUAACGGCUCACCAAGGCGACGAUCAGUAGCUGGUCUGAGAGGAUGAUCAGCCUCAUUGGGACUGAGACACGGCCCAAACUCCUACGGGAGGCAGCAGUGGGGAAUAUUGGACAAUGGGCGCAAGCCUGAUCCAGCCAUGCCGCGUGGGUGAUGAAGGCCCUAGGGUUGUAAAGCCCUUUCGGCGGGGAAGAUAAUGACGGUACCCGCAGAAGAAGCCCCGGCUAACUUCGUGCCAGCCGCCGCGGUAA
rnacentral:rRNA from 1 species